GAUGAACGCUGGCGGCGUGCCUAAUACAUGCAAGUCGAGCGACGAGGGGACGGGUGAGUAAAACGUGGAUAACCUCAUAUAAGACUGGGAGAACUUCGGGAAAACGGAACUAAACCGGAUACUUAGAGAUGGAUCCGCGCUGCAUUAGCUAGUUGGUCAGGUAACGGCUUACCAAGGCAACGAUGCAUCGCCGACCUGAGCGGGUGAUCGUCCACACUGGAACUGAGACACGGUCCAGACUCCUACGGUGGGCAGCAGUGGGUAAUCUUCGGCAAUGGGCGAAAGCCUGACGGAGCAACGCCGAGUGAGUGAUGAAGGUCUUCGGAUCGUAAAACUCUGUUAUUAGGGAAGCGGUACCUAAUCAGAAAGCCACGGCUAACUACGUGCCAGCAGCCGCGGUAAUAC
rnacentral:rRNA from 1 species